rnacentral:lncRNA from 1 species
UCAUAAAUAUUUGUUACACAUUUCUCUGAAAAUUGUUCAAUUCGUUUCUCUGCAUAAUGCUUUGUGCGGUCAAACAAAAAGAAAACGCAUCUUGGCCGCAUUUGGUGCUCUUUAGGAGAUAUUUUCUCAUAUAUCUUGAGUGGUCGAAUCUUCACUGUAGUAAUUGUGCUUGCAAUGCGAUCGUUUUUGCCCUUGUGCUCGGAUGCUUGAUUUCCCAUUACGAAAACUAAUGUAGUCAAAGUUUGCACCGAAGAUAUGGAAGAGUAUUUUUAACAUAUGCCUGUUAUUUUAUUCAGUGAUGAUAAAUGACUCAUUUGAGGAGCGUUCGUUUUAGUAUUUUAUAAUAAUCUCUUAAAGUAAUUUUCCUGUCUUUUAUACUUUUUUAUUUUAGUGUCUUAUUCUUUCCGAUCCCGUUGUGCAUAUACCUUAUUACUCGACUAUAGGUUGGCUCAUUAGCUUUAAAUAACUUAUGUUUUUUUGUUAAAUACUGUAAAUUCAAAUAAGUAGUUGCUUCUUCAUUUCAUUGAUGCAUAAUACAUGUUU